AGAGUUUGAUCCUGGCUCAGAACGAACGCUGGCGGCGUGCCUAACACAUGCAAGUCGAACGAAUCAGGGGGCUUGCUUCUUGAUUAGUGGCGCACGGGUGAGUAACGCGUAGAUAAUCUACCCAAUGAUCUGGGAUAACAUCUCGAAAGGGGUGCUAAUACCGGAUAAGCCCACGGGGACUUCGGUUCUUGCGGGAAAAGGGGGGGACCUUCGGGCCUUCUGUCAUUGGAUGAGUUUACGUCCCAUUAGCUAGUUGGUGGGGUAAAGGCCCACCAAGGGCUACGAUGGUUAGCUGGUCUGAGAGGAUGAUCAGCCACACUGGAACUGAGACACGGUCCAGACUCCUACGGGAGGCAGCAGUGGGGAAUUUUGCGCAAUGGGGGAAACCCUGACGCAGCAACGCCGCGUGAGUGAUGAAGGCCUUCGGGUCGUAAAGCUCUGUCAGUGGGAAAGAAGUGUAUUGCGGUUAAUACCUGCGAUACUUGACGGUACCCACAAAGGAAGCACCGGCUAACUCCGUGCCAGCAGCCGCGGUAAUACGGAGGGUGCGAGCGUUGUUCGGAAUUAUUGGGCGUAAAGCGCGUGUAGGCGGCUCCUUAAGUCUGAUGUGAAAGCCCCGGGCUCAACCUGGGAAGUGCAUUGGAAACUGGGGAACUUGAAUACGGGAGAGGGUAGUGGAAUUCCUGGUGUAGGAGUGAAAUCCGUAGAUAUCAGGAGGAACACCGGUGGCGAAGGCGGCUGCCUGGACCGAUAUUGACGCUGAGACGCGAAAGCGUGGGGAGCAAACAGGAUUAGAUACCCUGGUAGUCCACGCCGUAAACGAUGAGUACUAGGUGUUGCGGGUAUUGACCCCUGCAGUGCCGCAGCUAACGCAUUAAGUACUCCGCCUGGGAAGUACGGUCGCAAGACUAAAACUCAAAGGAAUUGACGG
rnacentral:rRNA from 1 species